UACGAAGGGGGCUAGCGUUGCUCGGAAUCACUGGGCGUAAAGCGUACGUAGGCGGCUUUUUAAGUCAGGGGUGAAAUCCUGGAGCUCAACUCCAGAACUGCCUUUGAUACUGAGAAGCUUGAGUCCGGGAGAGGUGAGUGGAACUGCGAGUGUAGAGGUGAAAUUCGUAGAUAUUCGCAAGAACACCAGUGGCGAAGGCGGCUAACUGGCCCGGUACUGACGCUGAGGUGCAAAAGCGUGGGGAGCAAACAGG
rnacentral:rRNA from 1 species